rnacentral:rRNA from 1 species
UACGAAGGGGGCUAGCGUUGCUCGGAAUCACUGGGCGUAAAGCGCACGUAGGCGGAUUGUUAAGUCAGGGGUGAAAUCCUGGAGCUCAACUCCAGAACUGCCUCUGAUACUGGCGAUCUUGAGUCCGGGAGAGGUGAGUGGAACUGCGAGUGUAGAGGUGAAAUUCGUAGAUAUUCGCAAGAACACCAGUGGCGAAGGCGGCUCACUGGCCCGGUACUGACGCUGAGGUGCGAAAGCGUGGGGAGCAAACAGG